rnacentral:rRNA from 1 species
AUGUAGCAAUACAUGGCGAACUGCUCAGUAACACGUGGACAACCUGCCCUUAGGUUGGGUAUAAACCCGGGAAACUGGGUAUAAUACCCGAUAGGUCUCGAUUGCUGGAAUGCAUCGAGAUUUAAAGCUCCGGCGCCUAAGGAUGGGUCUGCGGCCUAUCAGGUAGUAGUGGGUGUAGCGUACCUACUAGCCUACGACGGGUACGGGUUGUGAGAGCAAGAGCCCGGAGAUGGAUUCUGAGACACGAAUCCAGGCCCUACGGGGUGCAGCAGGCGCGAAAACUUUACAAUGCUGGCAACAGCGAUAAGGGAACCUCGAGUGCCAGGUUACAAAUCUGGCUGUCGAGAUGCCUAAAAAGCAUUUCAUAGCAAGGGCCGGGCAAGACUGGUGCCAGCCGCCGCGGUAACACCGGCGGCUCGAGUGGUAACCGUUAUUAUUGGGUCUAAAGGGUCUGUAGCCGGCCGGAUAAGUCUCUUGAGAAAUCUGGCAGCUUAACUGUCAGGCUUUCAGGAGAUACUGUCUGGCUCGAGGCCGGGAGAGGUGAGAGGUACUUCAGGGGUAGGGGUGAAAUCUUGUAAUCCUUGAAGGACCACCAGUGGCGAA